rnacentral:rRNA from 1 species
CCCUUAGAUGUUCUGGGCCGCACGCGCGCUACACUGACAGAGCCAGCGAGUUUUUUUCCUUGGCCGGAAGGUCUGGGUAAUCUUGUGAAACUCUGUCGUGCUGGGGAUAGAGCAUUGCAAUUAUUGCUCUUCAACGAGGAAUUCCUAGUAAGCGUGAGUCAUCAGCUCGCGUUGAUUACGUCCCUGCCCUUUGUACACACCGCCCGUCGCUACUACCGAUUGAAUGGCUUAGUGAGGUCUUGGGAUUGGCUUCGGGGAGCCGGCAACGGCACCCUGUCGCUGAGAACUUGAUCAAACUUGGUCAUUUAGAGGAAGUAAAAGUCGUANCA